rnacentral:ncRNA from 1 species
GGUCACAACGGCUUCCUGGCGUGACC